rnacentral:rRNA from 1 species
UGCUAUAAUGCAGUCGAGCGGACAGAUGGGAGCUUGCUCCCUGAUGUUAGCGGCGGACGGGUGAGUAACACGUGGGUAACCUGCCUGUAAGACUGGGAUAACUCCGGGAAACCGGGGCUAAUACCGGAUGGUUGUUUGAACCGCAUGGUUCAAACAUAAAAGGUGGCUUCGGCUACCACUUACAGAUGGACCCGCGGCGCAUUAGCUAGUUGGUGAGGUAACGGCUCACCAAGGCGACGAUGCGUAGCCGACCUGAGAGGGUGAUCGGCCACACUGGGACUGAGACACGGCCCAGACUCCUACGGGAGGCAGCAGUAGGGAAUCUUCCGCAAUGGACGAAAGUCUGACGGAGCAACGCCGCGUGAGUGAUGAAGGUUUUCGGAUCGUAAAGCUCUGUUGUUAGGGAAGAACAAGUACCGUUCGAAUAGGGCGAUACCUUGACGGUACCUAACCAGAAAGCCACGGCUAACUACGUGCCAGCAGCCGCGGUAAUACGUAGGUGGCAAGCGUUGUCCGGAAUUAUUGGGCGUAAAGGGCUCGCAGGCGGUUUCUUAAGUCUGAUGUGAAAGCCCCCGGCUCAACCGGGGAGGGUCAUUGGAAACUGGGGAACUUGAGUGCAGAAGAGGAGAGUGGAAUUCCACGUGUAGCGGUGAAAUGCGUAGAGAUGUGGAGGAACACCAGUGGCGAAGGCGACUCUCUGGUCUGUAACUGACGCUGAGGAGCGAAAGCGUGGGGAGCGAACAGGAUUAGAUACCCUGGUAGUCCACGCCGUAAACGAUGAGUGCUAAGUGUUAGGGGGUUUCCGCCCCUUAGUGCUGCAGCUAACGCAUUAAGCACUCCGCCUGGGGAGUACGGUCGCAAGACUGAAACUCAAAGGAAUUGACGGGGGC